rnacentral:snoRNA from 1 species
UCCGUCCUAGAGGUGUUGCAGCUGUGGCUGCUGUGUCCAUGUGUAUCAGUAGGUAGCAGAGAGAAGAGGGGUUAGGUCUAUGUUCAGUGUUUUGACCUGUGAUCAUAUGAAUGAUUAGGAGUCCAACACU